rnacentral:rRNA from 1 species
AACACAUGCAAGUCGAACGCGAAAGGGACUUCGGGUCCUGAGUAAAGUGGCGCACGGGUGAGUAACGCGUAGAUAACCUGUCUUCAUGUCUGGAAUAAUACGCCGAAAGGGGUACUAAUACCGGAUAUUCUUGCUUUUCAUAAGUUAUGCAAGCAAAGGUGGCCUCUGCAUAUGCUACUGCAUGAAGAGGGGUCUGCGUACCAUUAGCUAGUAGGUGGGGUAAUGGCCUACCUAGGCGACGAUGGUUAGCGGGUCUGAGAGGAUGAUCCGCCACACUGGCACUGGAACACGGGCCAGACUCCUACGGGAGGCAGCAGUGAGGAAUAUUGCGCAAUGGGGGAAACCCUGACGCAGCGACGCCGCGUGAGUGAAGGAAGGCCUUCGGGUCGUAAAGCUCUGUCAAGAGGAAAGAAGUGUACAAUGGCUAAUACCUGUUGUAUUUGACGGUACCUCUAAAGGAAGCACCGGCUAACUCCGUGCCAGCAGCCGC